rnacentral:snoRNA from 1 species
AAGAUUAUAUUUUCAGGGGAUCGUUUCUACAGUUUGUUACUAGAGAAGUUUCUCUGAAUGUGUAGAACACCAGAAACUACGAGGAGAAGACGCAGCCUUCUCUCCUGAGCAUGAAACUGGCUCCUGGUGUUGCUUCCUUGCAGCUGCCAUUUACCACUGAUGGUGGUUCUUCUCUUUCUUUGGGAGAGUAAGAAGGAGAGAAUGCAGUCUGAGUGGG